rnacentral:rRNA from 1 species
GUGGGGAAUAUUGCGCAAUGGGCGAAAGCCUGACGCAGCGACGCCGCGUGAGGGAUGAAGGUUUUCGGAUCGUAAACCUCUGUCAGAAGGGAAGAAACUACAUUGUGCUAAUCAGCAGUGUACUGACGGUACCUUCAAAGGAAGCACCGGCUAACUCCGUGCCAGCAGCCGCGGUAAUACGGAGGGUGCAAGCGGUAAUCGGAAUUACUGGGCGUAAAGCGCACGUAGGCUGUAGUGUAAGUCAGGGGUGAAAUCCCACGGCUCAACCGUGGAACUGCCUUUGAUACUGCACAACUUGAAUCCGGGAGAGGGUGGCGGAAUUCCAGGUGUAGGAGUGAAAUCCGUAGAUAUCUGGAGGAACAUCAGUGGCGAAGGCGGCCACCUGGACCGGUAUUGACGCUGAGGUGCGAAAGCGUGGGGAGCAAACAGGAUUAGAAACCCCAGUAGUCC